rnacentral:lncRNA from 1 species
UUUUUUUUCUCGGGAUACUUGAUUCCUCCCCGCCACCCCAAGGAUGCUUCCAGGCCCAAGUCUAGUGGCUUUGGGAACGCGCAGAGUGGCUGGAUCUGGUGAGUUGAGUCAAGGACAAGGCAGGUUGGGAUGCAUCCAUGGAGGAGACAGCAGCGAGGCACUGGUGUGCACAGGUUGGGCAGGGAGUGGAGCUUGAGGCUUUUUAGCUCUGGAGCACUGUAGGCAAGUGGGGGACAGAUUAAAGCUUCCGGCCAGUAUUUGUGGUUUUGAUUUUAAUUUAUCAGUUUGGCCAAAAUUAGCAACCCUUGUUUAAAAUGCUCAGCUGGCCAGCCAACGUGAGGCAACCUCUGGCUGAGAGGGGAUACAGGCAUUGGGCAGCACAGAAAUGUGUCAGAUUGCAUGAGUGGUCUGCGAUGAGGUGGAAGGGAACGAGAAAGCAGGGCGCUGGUAGGAGAGUUUGAGCCCACAAAGCGAGGUGUUUGUUCCUGGCAUGAGCCAGACCUUUUAACUGAAGUUGUACUUGCUCACGCUCAUCUUUGCUCUAGGGACUGCACAAAUCCGAAAUGGAAGUUGGCAGGUACUGCAGAGAGAUCACAGUCUGCCUCAAUACCGGAGACGAAUAGAUUGGCCAACUGAGCCAGGGAAGAAGGAGGCAGUGGAUAACCCUGUUUCAAAGAAUGUGUUGUGCGUACCUGCCUCUCUUCAGAAGUACUGGGAGCCGGGGGAAGAGUCACACGAUGCUCUUACGCAGCAGGACCUGAGCGAUGCCCAGCGCUGUCAUAUAGUAUACGUGGCAGCUAGGUAUGCUUCUUUCACUGUCAUUUGACUUUCUUCUCAUUCACGUAUUUCUAGGGUGCCUCUGUAUCAUUUUAAGGCAAAUGAAGCUUGUGUGUCUUCUGUCCCAGGUAUGCUGAAUGCUAAGUGGCUUGGGAUGCUGGAUUCCAGUCUAGAAAUAAGGUUUUAGCCAAGUUUCCCUAAUUAAUCCCGCUUUGUAUUGAUGCGCUGGGCCAAGAUGCCAACCCUGCUAGUCCUUUUUAAGGUUCCUGGGAGGUUCUAGGUUUGCAUCCUUGGAGGCAUCUCCCCGUGGUUCAUUCCUAGGGUUGGACGGAGAUGUUAGCUGUGAAUCCUAGGACAGUAGGGCAGAGAGGUCUCCGUGGUUUUUGAGUAAUGCCUUGGCUAGAGCAUGGCCUUUUAGUGCCUGCGUCGUCUUAACAGCAGUAACAGCAGGAGCUGCUCUUUGCAAUUAGUAUUUUG